rnacentral:misc_RNA from 1 species
AACGCACAUUGCACCUUUUGGUAUUCCGAAAGGUAUGCUUGUUCGAGCGUCGUUUAAACAAUAUCAAUUUAAUUAUUGAAUGUAUUGAGUGUUGCUUCUCUGGAUUUUGAAUUCAGAGACACUCCAAAACGAUUGAGCGAUCUUGACUAGAUUUAAUUGACGCAUUAAUAUAAACUUUUUUAUCGUCAGUAGAAGAAGUCAUGGGUUUGCCAAAAUAAAAACAAUUUUUUAAAAGGAGAUCUUUUUCUUCCUUUUUAAAUUAUUAUCAUUAUUAUCGACCUCGAAUCAAGUAGGAUUACCCGCUGAACUUAA